rnacentral:rRNA from 1 species
GUCGAACGCUUCUUUUCCCACCGGAGCUUGCUCCACCGGGAAAAGAGGAGUGGCGAACGGGUGAGUAACACGUGGGUAACCUGCCCAUCAGAAGGGGAUAACACUUGGAAACAGGUGCUAAUACCGUAUAACAAUCGAAACCGCAUGGUUUCGUUUUGAAAGGCGCUUUACGGUGCCGCUGAUGGAUGGACCCGCGGUGCAUUAGCUAGUUGGUGAGGUAACGGCUCACCAAGGCCACGAUGCAUAGCCGACCUGAGAGGGUGAUCGGCCACAUUGGGACUGAGACACGGCCCAAACUCCUACGGGAGGCAGCAGUAGGGAAUCUUCGGCAAUGGACGAAAGUCUGACCGAGCAACGCCGCGUGAGUGAAGAAGGUUUUCGGAUCGUAAAACUCUGUUGUUAGAGAAGAACAAGGGUGAGAGUAACUGUUCACCCCUUGACGGUAUCUAACCAGAAAGCCACGGCUAACUACGUGC